GCUGGCGGCGUGCCUAAUACAUGCAAGUCGAGCGAACAGACGAGGAGCUUGCUCCUCUGACGUUAGCGGCGGACGGGUGAGUAACACGUGGAUAACCUACCUAUAAGACUGGGAUAACUUCGGGAAACCGGAGCUAAUACCGGAUAAUAUAUUGAACCGCAUGGUUCAAUAGUGAAAGACGGUUUUGCUGUCACUUAUAGAUGGAUCCGCGCCGCAUUAGCUAGUUGGUAAGGUAACGGCUUACCAAGGCAACGAUGCGUAGCCGACCUGAGAGGGUGAUCGGCCACACUGGAACUGAGACACGGUCCAGACUCCUACGGGAGGCAGCAGUAGGGAAUCUUCCGCAAUGGGCGAAAGCCUGACGGAGCAACGCCGCGUGAGUGAUGAAGGUCUUCGGAUCGUAAAACUCUGUUAUUAGGGAAGAACAAAUGUGUAAGUAACUAUGCACGUCUUGACGGUACCUAAUCAGAAAGCCACGGCUAACUACGUG
rnacentral:rRNA from 1 species